GAGAGCGCAGUGCAACCAAGAGUUGUAUGCUGCGUUUGGGAAGGAUGAAUAGCUCCCGAAAAGGAAUCUAUUGAUUCUCUCCCAAUUGGUUGGACCAUAGGUGCGGUGAUUUACUUCAA
rfam:Punica granatum cultivar Dabenzi scaffold242, whole genome shotgun sequence.